UACGUAGGGCGCAAGCGUUGUCCGGAAUUAUUGGGCGUAAAGAGCUCGUAGGCGGUCCGUCACGUCGGGUGUGAAAUUCCAGGGCUCAACCCUGGACCUGCAUUCGAUACGGGCGGACUAGAGUUCGGUAGGGGAGACUGGAAUUCCUGGUGUAGCGGUGAAAUGCGUAGAUAUCUGUAGGAACACCCGUGGCGAAGGCGGCUCGCUGGACCGUUACUGACGCUGAGGAACGAAAGCUAGGGGAGCAAACAGG
rnacentral:rRNA from 1 species